rnacentral:rRNA from 1 species
UUCGCCCUUAGAGUUUGAUCCUGGCUCAGGACGAACGCUGGCGGCGCGCCUAACACAUGCAAGUCGAACGAGCGAGAGAGAGCUUGCUUUCUCAAACGAGUGGCGAACGGGUGAGUAACGCGUGAGGAACCUGCCUCAAAGAGGGGGACAACAGUUGGAAACGACUGCUAAUACCGCAUAAGCCCACGACCCGGCAUCGGGUAGAGGGAAAAGGAGCAAUCCGCUUUGAGAUGGCCUCGCGUCCGAUUAGCUAGUUGGUGAGGUAAUGGCCCACCAAGGCGACGAUCGGUAGCCGGACUGAGAGGUUGAACGGCCACAUUGGGACUGAGACACGGCCCAGACUCCUACGGGAGGCAGCAGUGGGGAAUAUUGCACAAUGGGGGAAACCCUGAUGCAGCGACGCCGCGUGGAGGAAGAAGGUCUUCGGAUUGUAAACUCCUGUUGUUGAGGAAGAUAAUGACGGUACUCAACAAGGAAGUGACGGCUAACUACGUGCCAGCAGCCGCGGUAAAACGUAGGUCACAAGCGUUGUCCGGAAUUACUGGGUGUAAAGGGAGCGCAGGCGGGAAGACAAGUUGGAAGUGAAAUCCAUGGGCUCAACCCAUGAACUGCUUUCAAAACUGUUUUUCUUGAGUAGUGCAGAGGUAGGCGGAAUUCCCGGUGUAGCGGUGGAAUGCGUAGAUAUCGGGAGGAACACCAGUGGCGAAGGCGGCCUACUGGGGCACCAACUGACGCUGAGGCUCGAAAGUGUGGGUAGCAAACAGGAUUAGAUACCCUGGUAGUCCACACUGUAAACGAUGAUUACUAGGUGUUGGAGGAUUGACCCCUUCAGUGCCGCAGUUAACACAAUAAGUAAUCCACCUGGGGAGUACGACCGCAAGGUUGAAACUCAAAGGAAUUGACGGGGGCCCGCACAAGCAGUGGAGUAUGUGGUUUAAUUCGACGCAACGCGAAGAACCUUACCAAGUCUUGACAUCCUGCGACGGACAUAGAAAUAUGUUUUUCCUUCGGGACGCAGAGACAGGUGGUGCAUGGUUGUCGUCAGCUCGUGUCGUGAGAUGUUGGGUUAAGUCCCGCAACGAGCGCAACCCUUAUGGUCAGUUACUACGCAAGAGGACUCUGGCCAGACUGCCGUUGACAAAACGGAGGAAGGUGGGGAUGACGUCAAAUCAUCAUGCCCUUUAUGACUUGGGCUACACACGUACUACAAUGGCGUUAAACAAAGAGAAGCAAGACCGCGAGGUGGAGCAAAACUCAGAAACAACGUCCCAGUUCGGACUGCAGGCUGCAACUCGCCUGCACGAAGUCGGAAUUGCUAGUAAUCGCAGAUCAGCAUGCUGCGGUGAAUACGUUCCCGGGCCUUGUACACACCGCCCGUCA